AAGGGAUUUAUUUCGCCUUUUUUGAAUCUCUCCCCACAAUCAACCACUUCCCUGUUUGCCAUCCCCAAAUCAGGGGAAGCCAUAUCACGAUCCUGCUCUUUGAGAAAAUCUGCCUCUUUGUUGGCUGUGAAACCACUGAAGAGAAGUACGAAUACAACGAGGCCCAGAUUGUAGACUUUCAAAAGAGAGUUGUUGAAGUAGAUGUUACAGAAGUUUUCUGACAUAUGGAGUUGUGUUGGAAGCAUGCUGGUAGCUCACGAUUUGUCUGUCACUUUUAAGGGCAAUUCUUUUGUCCUAGCUAAAACGUUGCCAAUCUAAAUAUUUAACUUUUGUGUUUCAUGGUCAAGGCUAGCAGAUUAACUUAGGUUUCUGGAAUAAAUAAAACACUGCAGAAAAAUAAAUACAGAUUCGAAUGGGAAUGUUCUGCUUAUACGGGUUUGACGAUCUUUGGAAUCUAUCAUGGUUUUGAUCACGACAUUGAUAGCUGUCUAUGGUUUUAAACUAGAGUAGCUUCCUUCAAUUUAAAUUAAUCUCAGAAAAAUGUAGUGUUACGAAAUAAAUGGUGAAGAUAUAUAAUGGGCAUAUGUCUAUUUUUAUUGUUCAGAUUAAAAGAGAAGUGUCGAAUAUUAUUGUGAGAGUGGUAGUUCGUAAACUUUUGCUGUCACGAAAGAUAAGAAUAUAGAGCUCUCACAUGUAAGACGCCAACAUAAACUAUAACGUGAGUUUCUUCUUUUCUUUUAUUGUUCUUUCCACAUCUCUAAAUAUUCUAUGUUUUCUAUGUUCUUACUAAUGCAACUCUUGGAUAAGAACCAUACAACAGGAAAGACUAGAUGUUUUAUGUUUUCCUCUGUUCUUAUCAGAAAAUGUAUUUUUCUUUCUAUUUUGGUUAAUUUAGAAUGGAAGGUUAGUUUGUUUAGAUCACUGAGGAAGCUAUAGAGCUUGAAAAGCAACUCAGACAGACCACUUAGGAGAAGAAUGAAGCUGUGCGAGGCCAAGACUUUGGGAAGGUGUUGUCUUCGAGUUUGUCUUACUGUCUAUAAACCCAAGAAAAGUGUUGUCGGAUAAAUCUAGCUGUCUUUUCCAAUAUUGAGCAGAGCCUCCACGCCGGUUAUCGGCCAACACGAAGCUGUCAAAGCCAUUAACCAGCAGUGCACUGCGAAGAGUUUUAAGGGCCUAAGACAAAUUUUAAAAAUAAACUUAUUUAUAACUAUAAUGAAAACAAUUUUGCAAUAUGAUAUAUCGCUUUCACCAAAUGCACAAAUCUAACGCUCUAAAAGAAUAAGUUUAUGCUAUAUUAGUCUAGUAUGUGGAAAAAGUUUUUAAAAAAUAAGUCUAAACCAUUAAACCUGGAGACCUAAGGCGAAUGUCUUUUUCAAUACACUACAGACACGUUUCUGUUAACCAGGAGAUUCAACGUGCAUGUGUUGGGCUCAAGAAUCCGAACCGCCCAAUCACAAGUUUCAUUUUCAAUGUUAAACGAUUUUUGUAAAGUGUUCUAUGUACAUUAUAUUUUAUGUAAUUCUUUCAUGCUGCUUGAUCGUAGAUUUAAAACAUCACACUGGAUUGUGUUUCACUGCAAACAGAUUUGUAAACUAUGCAUUUAAAAAAUGUACUUAUCAUUUCUCAUACUUUUUCUUCUUUUUGGUGACAGUUAAAAGUAGUUCGCCGUAAUGGAAUUACAUCAUUCGGAUUGGGUUUUAUGAAAAAGGAUUAGGAUGUCUAAGUAAAUAACUAAAUAAAAGUAAUAUCUUCAAAAGUUAAAAUGACAAUAUUAAUACAGCACAAGACGUUGGUAAAUGUUUGUUCUCUUUCUUUUUCUAAAACUGUUUUAAUCAUUUAAGAAAGAAGGUUUGGAGUAGUUCAAAAAAAAAAAAAGAAGGUUUGAUUUACAAACUAUUUCCUGAAAACUAUAAGCCUCUGGCCAAGAUAAAGUAAAAACAUAAUAGAAGCAAUAACAUACAAACAGCUUAUAAACAUAUCUGGUUUUCUUUAUCGAAGCCAAAGGUCCAGUAUCUUCCUAAAAUUCUUCAUGUGGAUAGUGACGAGAUGAUGUUGUGGACGUCUCGAUCUAUUUUUUUAAGCAAAGCUUCAUGGGUGAUGUAGUGCUGGUUGUGGAGUACAUUAUUAUACAGUUUCCAAAGAUGAAAAAUAGGUCCUUGAGCUCUUAUAUUCCUGAGAAUAGGUGGUAAGUGUUCCACACUACUUAAACCUUAUCGUGAGUACUCACAAACUUAUCUUUCAGAGUCAAAACUAUAACAAAGCAAUAAUAACCCACCAAUUAUGGUUUUAAAAUUAAAGAAAACAAACAACGUUACAUAGACUCACCAUGCAUGUCUUCAAGUUUUUUGUGAAAAGAUACAGCUUGAGAGUCGAAUACACUCAAAAAGAGAGUCCAGUUUUUAUUAUAUAAGAUGGUCGUUACAAAAGUUGCCUUUGAACAAAUAUCAAUUUUAAUAUAUUGGUGUACUUAUAUAAGAAACUAGUAUCGUUAAAAUAUACAGUUUGUUUUCAUAAAGACAACAAAAAUAUUAAUUUCAUAUAAAUAUUAACAUGGUAACUCUAUAAUAGAUAACAAACCCAUUUCAAUAAAAAAACAAAAAAAAACAUUAUACAUUAAUAUCUAUCAAAAAGGUGACGAUAUUUAACCCAAAACCUCAGCUAUCUAAGUACACUAAUACAUCAAAAUACAACACAAAAAGUACAUUCCUUCCAUUCAAAUCACCAUGAAAACAGAACUACUUUACAAGCUAUCCUUCACCUUCACAAAGGUAUCUAACCAUCAAUAUAAAGAGGUUUAAUACAAAUCAAAGAGAUAUAUCAAAAAAAAAAGAAAAAAAAGAGAUAAUCCAUUAAUAUCAACUGCUCUAAAACUGCUUUUGGUUAUAUAACCGAACACAGACUUUAUUAAAUCAUUUUUCGAUGACAGAAAACAUAAAAAUUGAUGAUGAUGAUGAUGAUGAUGAUGAUGAUGAUGAUGAUGAUGAUAAUGAUGAUGAUGAUGGUGUGGAGAGAGGAAAGCUCUAUCUACCAAAUGACUUCUCACGGAUUUCUAGAGCCUUUAUUGCUAAUUCCUCAUAACAGUCAGGUUGAGAAGGAGUGACUGCAAUGGGAAGGUUAUGGACUGAUCUUCUGAAGCAACUUACUUCUCCAUGAUGUCAAAACAUGUUCUCAGAAAUCACACGGCCUCCACAUAGUUUUUGCACUUUAAUAAGAUGUUGCAAGGUGUAUAAGAUGUGUAGCUAUGCUUGAUGGUUUUUAAGAUGUUGGUGAGAAAAAAUCAACAAAAACACUACUAUCAUAUUCAUAAACAACCCUAUACUUAAGACCCCAAUAACAACACAAAAUACAAAUUUCCAUAACACAUAUAUCGUAGCACGGACCGACUCUAGUAUAAAAUAUUAUUGUGUGUUUUAAUAUUCUAAAGUCAAAUUAAAGUUUUAUAUAAAUAUUAUAGAAAUUGCCACAUAUGCCACAUUCAUAGUACCACUUUUCAUGUUUACACUAACCAUUUUUACCCUCACUUUUAAUGAUGGGUAAAAAAUAUUUAUACUCCUAAAGUUAAUUAAUUUAGACUUAGGGUUCAGAGCUGAGGGGUGGAUAGGUUUUUGAAAUGUGAAAUUACGGAUUCUAAUAAAUAUAUAAAUAAAUACUUAAAAAAAAUAAAAAAAAAAUAGUUUCAAACAUAAUUUUUGAUUUUCACAAAAAAAAUUAUGAAAAAAAAUAAAAAAAAAUCGGAAAAGAUUGAAUUUAAAAAAGUAUAAUUCGAAAACAUAAAAUAUAUAUUUUAUUAUUUAUUUAAGUAAUUAUUUAUCAUAUAUAUAUAUAACAAGGGUACAAGAGUCUUUUGCCACUUAAUGAAAAAAAUAUUUUUGAACAUGUCCCUAAAAUGGUGGUAAAAAUGAAUAAUGGUAUCAUGAAAGUGAUUAAGAUGAAAUUUUCCCAUUUUUUUAUUGCUGAAUUUUUUGUACCUAAAAGUUUAUAAUUAACUUAACUGAUUUUUAAAUUUUAAUAGGUUGGACGAUUAAUAGGUGGAAACAAAACUUUGAAAAUAGAAAGACAAUGAUCUAGUUGUUGUUUUGAGAAUUUGGAUACUUUUGUUGAUGCAUGUUGACAUACAUUUUAAGUGAAUAUCAAAUCACUUUUUCUGCAACUAUAUGUAUAUUAUCUGAUCUUGAGCUAUUUAUAACAUCAAUAUAAAUAUUUUAAAUAAAAUGAAGGAAGUAAACUAGGAAUAUAGGGUUAAUUAUACAUAUGUUCGUUUAUUUUCAGAUAUUAUAUGUUUGGAUUCAGAUAUCCAAUCUCUUCUAAUUCAAUACCAUCUGGAUAUUUUACUACUUCGCUUCGGAUUUUGGUUUGAGUUUAUUUGGCUCAGAUUUAGGUGGCGUCGGAUUUCUUUUGACAGGUAGGGAAGGGAUGAGAAUAAGUUAAAACCAAGCUUGGUAUCUAUACUAUACUAAAAGGAGGAUAUAAGCUCCUUUUAGAGUGUCCACGUAGGCACAAAAAAUCGUCCAAUCAGAGAGCUCGAAGUUGCAACGUCAUAUCAUUUAUUUUUUCGUAAAAAAUAAAAAAACAAUGCAAAGGAGAGGAUCGAACCCGGGUUAGUAUGACAUAAAUAUAGGGCAAAUACCACUAAGCCAUUGAAACUUUCUUGAACACAUAUACAA